UAUUAGAAAUUAGAAAUAAGGAUCGAGUCAGAUCUGAAGGAGCUUUUCGUAAGAGAUUUUUGCGUCAGGUGUCCGUGCAGUUCCAGUAAAUAUCUAUUGGAUCGCGUGAUAGUGUUGUUGCCUCAUAUCUGGUCCGGAACUGAACCAAAUUCUUACUGAACUGGAGUUGUCGCUGAACCAAACGAUUACAGUUUACACGAUCCAAUGUUUUAUUAAUAACCAAAUCCCUCAGUCUCUGCAAGAAGCUAGUCAGCUGGAUGCCAUAGUUUAUCUCUGCACACGGGGUUUCUUCAUCAUUCUCGAGGUUCUUUAAUACUAAAGGAUACCAACAUGGCCACUUUGAGCAGCUCUACAGGU